CGGCGGACGGGUGAGUAGCGCGUGGGUAACCUGCCUCAUACAGGGGGAUAACAGUUGGAAACGGCUGCUAAUACCGCAUAAGCGCACAGUACCGCAUGGUACCGUGUGAAAAACUCCGGUGGUAUGAGAUGGACCCGCGUCUGAUUAGCUAGUUGGUGGGGUAACGGCCUACCAAGGCGACGAUCAGUAGCCGACCUGAGAGGGUGACCGGCCACAUUGGGACUGAGACACGGCCCAA
rnacentral:rRNA from 1 species